UACGAAGGGGGCUAGCGUUGUUCGGAAUUACUGGGCGUAAAGCGCACGUAGGCGGAUAUGUAAGUCAGGGGUGAAAUCCCGGGGCUCAACCUCGGAACUGCCUUUGAUACUGCAAAUCUUGAGUCCGGAAGAGGUGAGUGGAAUUCCUAGUGUAGAGGUGAAAUUCGUAGAUAUUAGGAAGAACACCAGUGGCGAAGGCGGCUCACUGGUCCGGUACUGACGCUGAGGUGCGAAAGCGUGGGGAGCAAAC
rnacentral:rRNA from 1 species